CACCGCCCCCGGGCGGGCGGGCGGCCAGGCUGGCCUAGGCCAAAGCUCCUCACCUGGCGGUGGCGGUGUAACUCCCGGCUAGCUCGCCUCCUCAGGCGGCGGCGGCGGCGUCGAAAAAGGAAGAGGCGACGGCACACUCCUUUAGGACACUGCUUCAGACAGGAUGGGAAAGCAUCCUCUGGCCUGAAGGUCGAAGAAUUCAGAAGUAGUACUGCUGUCUUCAUCCACUGAUUUCCACCCCCAGGAAUUUGCACUAGAGGCUCAUCCAAGUGUAGUUUAUCCGUUGUCAGCACACUGAAUGUCAGCCACUAGACCAGCCCCAGCUCUCCGUGCCUGUCCCCUGCCCAUGUCGUCAGUCCCUACCCACCUGUCUGCGAGCUGCCUGCCUCUUGGGCUGCCGUCUCC